GGCGGUAUUGGUGAAGUGGUUAACACAUCGGUUUGUGGUACCGACACACGUGAGUUCGAUUCUCACAUACCGCCU
rnacentral:tRNA from 2 species